UACGAAGGGGGCUAGCGUUGCUCGGAAUUACUGGGCGUAAAGCGCACGUAGGCGGAUUGUUAAGUCGGGGGUAAAAUCCUGGAGCUCAACUCCAGAACUGCCUUCGAAACUGGCGAUCUUGAGUUCGGGAGAGGUGAGUGGAACUGCGAGUGUAGAGGUGAAAUUCGUAGAUAUUCGCAAGAACACCAGUGGCGAAGGCGGCUCACUGGCCCGAUACUGACGCUGAGGUGCGAAAGCGUGGGGAGCAAACAGG
rnacentral:rRNA from 1 species